rnacentral:pre_miRNA from 1 species
GUCUUACCAGACACGGUUAGAUCUGGGUCCUGCCGUCUAAUACUGUCUGGUAACCCGU